rnacentral:rRNA from 1 species
UAUGUAGGGUGCAAGCGUUAAUCGGAAUUACUGGGCGUAAAGCGUGCGCAGGCGGUUAUGUAAGACAGUUGUGAAAUCCCCGGGCUUAACCUGGGAACUGCAUUGGUGACUGGCAGGCUUUGAGUGUGGCAGAGGGGGGUAGAAUUCCACGUGUAGCAGUGAAAUGCGUAGAGAUGUGGAGGAACACCUGUGGCGAAAGCGGCUCACUGGACCACAACUGACGCUGAGGCGCGAAAGCUAGGGGAGCAAACAGG